AUCCUGCUGACGAGUCCCCGAAAAUAGGACGAAACGCGCGUCCUGGAU
rnacentral:hammerhead_ribozyme from 1 species